CAGAAGGAUUGGACCAAAAGGACAUCAGCAGAUUGUCAUGUUCAAGACCCUCUUGGGCUAAAGAUGAGCCAGAUUGGAGGGGAUGAAUGUGAGUGAAGAAACUCAUAUAACUGAAGCUGUGGCUUCCAUCAGCCUGGGAAGCAGCAGGACCUGGUGAAUCCUUUUACUCAGCCAGGGAUGACAGAAAGAGCACUGUGCACUGAUCACUGCCAGAAUUUGAUGUGUGCAACUCUCAGCUGUCAGAACUAGAAACUGCCACGAUUUUGUUCAAAUCCUCUCAUUAACAAUAAUGGUUUGUCAUCUUAUCUACAGAAAGGUGUUUUUGCUUUGCAAUAUUAGAAGGUCUCAGGUGUGUCUUUUCCCUGUUUACUGGGUUUCCCAACUUAGAGCCCAAGUCUGAAUCUCAG
ensembl:lncRNA